rnacentral:rRNA from 1 species
GACGAACCGUCCAAACGUUAUUCGGAAUCACUGGGCUUACAGAGUUCGUAGGCGGUCUGGAAAGUUGGGUGUGAAAUCCCUCGGCUCAACCGAGGAACUGCGCUUGAAACUACCAGACUCGAGGGAGAUAGAGGAAAGCGGAACUGAUGGUGGAGCGGUGAAAUGCGUUGAUAUCAUCAGGAACACCGGUGGCGAAGGCGCUUUCUGGGUCUUACCUGACGCUGAGGAACGAAAGCCAGGGGAGUGAACGGG